GUGGGGAAUAUUGGACAAUGGGCGAAAGCCUGAUCCAGCCAUGCCGCGUGUGUGAAGAAGGUCUUCGGAUUGUAAAGCACUUUAAGUUGGGAGGAAGGGCAGUAAGUUAAUACCUUGCUGUUUUGACGUUACCAACAGAAUAAGCACCGGCUAACUUCGUGCCAGCAGCCGCGGUAAUACGAAGGGUGCAAGCGUUAAUCGGAAUUACUGGGCGUAAAGCGCGCGUAGGUGGUUUUGUAAGUUGGAGGUGAAAUCCCCGGGCUCAACCUGGGAACUGCCUCCAAAAGUGCAUGACUAGAGUACGGUAGAGGGUAGUGGAAUUUCCUGUGUAGCGGUGAAAUGCGUAGAUAUAGGAAGGAACACCAGUGGCGAAGGCGACUACCUGGACUGAUACUGACACUGAGGUGCGAAAGCGUGGGGAGCAAACAGGAUUAGAAACCCUAGUAGUCC
rnacentral:rRNA from 1 species